CCCUACAAAACAAACCGUUUAAGCCCAGCUGAUAACUCGGUUAGUAUUUGGAUAGGAGACCACCUGGGAAUCCCGGGUGCUGUAGGCU
rnacentral:rRNA from 14 species